CUCCGAUGCGCAGCCACCGCCCCUCGCCUUCCUCCAUCUCCAUCUCACCCACCGCCACCCCCUUCUCUCCCUCGGCUGUCGAGCUUCCGGAUGGACCCGGUGAGUAGGCCGGCGGCACUCCCCGAUCUGCUCGUCCUGCCGGCCGCGGCGAAGUGAGGAUCCAGGAUCCGCGCUCGGGGCGGCCUCGACGCAGGUGCUCGGUGUGCCCGGCCGCCCAAGACUCCGCCUUCCUCACGCUAGUGCGUCUGGAGAGGAGGAGGGGGCGGCACGCACAGCCGUGCCCUGCCGUCGGCGACGACGGCGCGGCCGUGCCCUCCGACGCCGCUCUUCUGCGCGCGUGAGGACACCAACUCCGCUCUCGACGACGACCGCACCAUGGAAUGGAGCCCUUCAAGGAAGACUUUGGGUUGCUUGUAACCCGCCAUGUCACAGAUAGGGUGCCUGUUAGAAAUCUUCUAUGGGGGUAACCAACAAGCGACAAAUAUUCAGUCUUGAGGGCGCAAGUACUGAAGCUAUGAUCCAGCUGUUGAGAAUAACUGAUAAUCAUGGUGUCUUAUGUGUAACUAUUU